rnacentral:rRNA from 1 species
GUCUCAGUUCAGAUUGCAGGCUGCAACUCGCCUGCAUGAAAGUCGGAAUUGCUAGUAAUCGCAGAUCAGCAUGCUGCGGUGAAUACGUUCCCGGGCCUUGUACACACCGCCCGUCACACCAUGGGAGUCGGUAACACCCGAAGUCGGUAGCCUAACCGUAAGGAGGGCGCCGCCGAAGGUGGGAUUGAUGACUGGGGUGAAGUCGUAACAAGGUAAC